AGCACUGGUUGCCAGAUUAUUAUUAAACAUUACUGCUGGUCAGUUUUCAUCAUAUUACCAACAACGCACAUUUAUUUGUACUGCUUUACGAACGACGUGGGGUAACCGGGGAUCUGGUCUGGUUACACAGUGAUCCUGUCAACUGUGCUUGGCCCGGGGAACACGACGGGCCUGUGUCCUGCCUCGGCUCACGGCCAGACCUUGCGGGGCCUUCGCCGAGAGCAGGAGCAGGCCCUGCCCCAGCUGCUCCGCUCUCCUCACCCGGCACCGCUGGGUCAGUGAAUUCACUGAACACAGGGAGUCUUCAACCUGCUCCUCUUCUAUUUCUGUCACUGCUUGCUGUUUCAGUGGCAUUUUAAAUGUCACCUUGCUCAUUCUUAGGUGUUGUAAGCCCUGAAGGUGAGAAGCACCGCACCUCGCGUGAAGCUUUCUAAGGGGCAGAGAAGCAUGACUGCUACGACUUUCUGUAAGCUGCGCUAUCUUUCCAAUCCAAUGCUACAGCCUUUGUGUGUGGAGAAGAUUCUCAGAAGACCUGGAAAAUGCCUGCAUGGCCAUCGCUUCCCCCACGGACAGGAGCAGGCGCUGCUCUACUCGAGCGUGUUCAUUGCUGUGCCCCAGUACCAAAGCUGCACAGGCAGCUGUCCCAGGAGACGAGGAACAGAUGACACUACCAAUGUACAGCGUGUCAGAGGAUCUCCCGGGCAACUUCCAAAGCCACUGGUUACACAGGGCACAAGGAUUUCAAGCACCAAAUGUGGAUUUGGGAGCACAGAUCUGGUAUGAACUGUUCAGAGCUAGGAGGAUUUCUUCCAAGGGAAUCUGUUUUGGAAUCAGUUUUCAGAUACAACAGGAGACUAACAACUUCCACUGAAAGGCUGACAACCUUCCGUGAAGCUACUUGGAUGAAGCUACUUUGCAAUAAAAACUAAGACCCUGCAAGUACCGAAGGUCAAGUAUGAACUAAGUUAAUUCUGUAAUUGGUAACAAGCGACUUCCAGCUCUGGCAAAUUAUAUACUUAAUACAAAGUAUUAAUAUUUGUUGUUUUGUUGAAAUGAGUGUCUGUGAUUUUAUCCUCGAAAGAAAAGAACCAAAGAACUUAAGAUUUCGCCACUAAGCUAAGGCACGGGUGUGUUUCUGGGCCACUGGCUGCUGGCUUUUGGCUUAUGCUAUAGGGAGCAUCUCAAAUAUUUUGUACAAAGGAGUUGGAUAUGUAUUUAUACAACUUAUACAGUAUUUAUGCCUAAGCUCAGUGUUUGUUUUGAAUGCAAUUGAGAAUGAACUCGUACAGUAAACAUUGGUGGCAUUUAGAGAUAGCACAAACCAAGUAGCACUUCUGUUCAUAUGCUUACUGCUCCACCGGCUUCAAAGCACUCGCUGAAGCACAGCUGGAGACAGAAUGUAGUUUCAUAAAGCACAGAUCCCGCUUUUUCCCUACCGAUCUGUGAUAAUUUUCUCAGAGCUAGGAGAAAGAAAUGUUUGAAAUUCUGAGCUGGUUACCAUGCUGCUCUCAGUCCAAGUGAGCCCAACCCAAGAUGUGAGACGCCCGCAUCUGCACUUCAGCAGCCUCUUGUGAUAUUGAGCACAGCAUCAGGAAAACAAUUUCCCAACCAUAUAUCAUUAGAGAGCUCAGUGCAAGAGGAUUGUCUGACAAAGGCUUUUCAAUCUGAUAGAGACUGUGAAGGCUCUUUACAGUUUCCUGAUUAAAUGAAUUGUCUCUUAAACCGACUGAUGACAAUGAAUCAGCUUCCAGCUCCUCAACCACAGGUGCGUGAUCCUGCCCACCCUGCUGGCAGAGGACUUUUGUAGGCCCCUGAUGCUUUUUGGGGUGAGGAAGGGUUGUGGUGGUGGUUGGGGCAGGAGGAUGCACGGACUGGAGGCUCUGCAGCUGUGUUUUGGGCUGGCUCCCUGCCCUCUCUGCCCGCUGCUUGGGGAGAGGAUCCUGGAUCUUGGGGAAAAUACCUCCGGGAUUAGUGGGCUGAAGGGGGAAACAAGAUCCUUGCUGCUCAAGCAGUUGCAUACGGCAGCUCAGUGAAGUGUUGCUUGCUUAAUUUGUUUUCUUUUUGACUUUCUGUCAUGUUUCUGUUGGAGGAGCACUGAUGUGCCCAGUGCUGAUCCUUAGAGGGGCUGUUCCCGCGGGCUGGAAGGUCACAUCAGCUGGAGCAGUGGCUGCUUGCUUCCCUUGGAAACAGCGGUAAUACCCAGCUGCCUUAAAAAGCAUCAGUGUAUAGCAGGAAGAGGUGAAAGAAGCAAUCCAGCAUCGUUACUUAUUGGGAAGAAAAUUAAGGGAAAAUUCUUUAAAGAAGAGAGAGAAGAAACAGAAAGCUGGAGGAAAAUAUCAGGAGCUCAUUUGUGGACACUCCCCCGAAAGGUCACGGGAGGCAAUGGAAGGAAUGAAACUGUUGAUGGAAAUCAGCAACACAGACAAACAUCCAAAAAAAUGCAAUCUUCAAAAAAGCAGCAGGCAAUCAGGCAGGGGUGCUGUGAGAAUCCACAAACCUCAAGUCAGUGCUAAAAUAGGACAGCCACCCAGCUCUGUGGAACAAGGGGCGUCAGCGCAGCCCCAGGCGCCCACCUGGGCAAGAAGAGAGCCCGCAGGGACAGGGUUUGUCCAGCCCGCCUCCAAGGACACUGGCAAAAGAGCACCGACCUCUCAGGUGUGGAGAUGGUAGGGGCCAAAUACUGGGCUCCAAGACACACAAACCUGAAAGUGAAAUAAGGCUGUUGCCUCUGACUGCUAAAACUGCUCCUGUUAUCAGUUUUGGAAAUAGUUCCUACUGCUGCUGCACAAGCAAAGGGACCAAAGACAUUUUACACAGAAGUACUGCAGGCCAUCGUAAGGCGAAAGGAAGCAUGCUGUUAGAGAGACUGUGCUAUAAAUACACACGUGUAUUAACUUGUUACAUAAACUCAGUGGCAUGUUGGACUUAA